CUAUGAGACGCGCUUGGGUCUUGGCAUGUGAACAGGCCUUGGUGUGAAGAAGGUUGGGGCGGAAGCGCCUCCAGCCCCAGUGGAGCUUGUCCUCCCGGAUGCAGCUGGUUUCGAGCAACACCUCAACAUGGCCCUUCAUCCCUGCCAGGGCAAAGCUGACGGGAACAGCUGGGAGGACCAUACUUGGAUGCCAUCACUGACUGGGCAGAAGACUCAACAGAUGCUAGGAAUAUUCUCAGAUCUUGGCAGCUCUGCAGCAAGCACAGGAUGGUUCUUGGAUGGCAGGUGUCCCUGGAUGGAGUCCAGGCUGCAGUUGGCCGAGGUUUCACAUUUUCACCUGCGGUGCUGGCGUGAGGGCUUCCACCACUGUUUUUGCGGUUGUUUCUACAGGAAGGCCAAGGUUGGGUAAAGGUCGGGGCUGGCACAGAAAUGAUGUCAGAAGCUGCAAGACAUAGGGUUGCUUUUACAAACAUGCAUGCAUUUAAUCUAGCAGCCUCUCACCUGUAGUAUCCCUCAACCUAUCUUGGAAAUUGUAGCACUCAUUGACUCUCAACCGGAGGCGAUUUUGCCUCCCAGGGGACAUUUAGCAAUGCCAGGAGAUAUUUCUGAUUGCCAAAAUUGCCGGAGGCAAUGCUGCUGGCAUCAGUCGAUAGAGACCAGGCAUGCUGCUAAACAUCCUACAACGCACAGGACCGCUCCCCCUAACAAAGAAUUAUCCGGUCCAAAAUGUCAUUAGUGCCAAGGUUGAGAGAAACCCCAUUUUAUAUUUCAAGAAAUCCAGCUCUUUGCUCAGCAGGUCACUUGACAUCCUACUACUCAAAGUGUGCCUCCAGACUUCAUCAGCCUCAUGUAGGGGCUUGUGAGAAAUGCAGACGCUCAGGACCCCGUUCCACACACACUGUGUCAAGAUCUGCGUUUUAAGAUCCCUAGGUGAACACAGACAGACAUUUGCACACUGAUAUUCGUAGUGGCAUUAUUCACAAUUGCCAAAAUAUGGACACAACCCAAGUGUCCAUCAACCCAUGAACUGAUAAACAAAAUGUGGUAUAUACGUACGAUGGAAUGUUAUUCAGCUAUAAGAGGAAAUGACAACAUGGAUGAACCUUAAGGACAUUAUGUUGAGUGAAAUGACCCAGAUACAAAAGGACAAAUAUUGUGUGAUCUCACUAAUAAGAGCUAAUUAUAAUAGGCAAACCUGGAGUUAAAAUUUCGAGUAUAGGUACCAGGAGAUGGAAUGAGGGUAGAGAAUGGGGAGCUGAUGCUUAAUCUGUGCAAAAUAUUUAAUUAGAUUGAUUGUAAAUGUUUGAAAAUGGAUAGAGGCAUUGGUAGCAAAUUACUGUAAGUGUAAUUAACAGCACUUAAUUAUGUGUGUGAUUGAGGUUGACACGGUUGUGUAUGUCACUAGAAGGAGAGCUAGAGGAUAAAACAUGGGAUUGCACAACAUAGUGAACCCUGUUGUGGACAAUUACUGUGGUUAAUAGUACAAAUAUAAGAAUGUUCUUUCAUGAACUAUAACAAAUGUAUGACACUAUUACAAGGUAUUAAUAAUAGGGUGGUCUAUUUGAAAAAAUACAGCUAAUGCAAACCAUAACUAUAGUUAACAGUAAUAUUUUAGUAUUAUUUCAUUAAUUGUAACAAAGGUACCUCACCAAUGUUAAAUGUCAAUAAUAUGGGAUAUAAAGUGUAUGAGGUUUUGCUUUUUGGAGCAAUGAAAAUGUUUUAAAACUGAUUGUGGUGAUGAAUGCACAACUCUGUGAUUAUAUUGAGAGCCAUUGAUUGUACACUUUGGAUAGAUUGUAUGGUAUGUGAAUAUAUCUCAAUAAAACUGCUUAAAAAAAGAUCCCUAUGUGACCUAUAUGCACAUUCAGUUUUGAGAAAUAUUGAGUAAUGUUCUCUAAGCAUUAGAGUGCAAGACAGUGUGACAAAUGCUUCAGAGGCACCAAGUAGAGACUUAGAACUUUUAAAUUUACAAAAACUCACUUGUUCACCAUCUGUAUUUUUUCAUUUUCAAUAAAAUAUCUUCCACUUUUUUGCUCCUUCUACCCCUUUCUCUUCUAGUUACUCUGUUUCAUCAAAGCUGCAUCCAUUUGUCUUCAUUCCACACGUGUCCAUUGCUUUCCUCGAUCUUUACUUUUGAAUCACUCUUGAUACCAAAAGGAGAAGAAUGGGCAGACACUUAUCUCUUUAAUUAAAGUAAAUUGUCCUAGAGGGAAAAGUGGGUAGAAUCUAGAAGAGCCAUACUCUCUGAAACCUGAUAAAACAAAAUUAAAUUCAACCUUUCUGCUCCGAGCCUUUGGUGGUAAGAUAUUAAAAAGGAAGGCAAUAAAGCUCAUCCAGUACUAAUUUAAUCAGAAGCCUGUUCAGUCAGUCUCUUUGAUAUACCUUUUGUCAACCUAGCUUUAGGUUUUGAAUAGGCAAUCUAAAACUCUCGAAAUUUACUAAAUUGACUUAUCAGGAAAUUUCUGCUGAAACUAGGUAUAAUAAUAGAACUGAUUAAAAAUAAAGUUUAGUCUGUGCACCAUGCCAACAUACCAUAAAAUUUUGGAGUCUUUUAGAUAUCUUAUUUAGAAAUUUUGUCUCUUUUAUUAAAUGUUUGCUGGUGUCCAGUUUGUCAUCAUUAACUCUCUUUUUCUCUACGUAAAGGAAAAACUAAAAUUUUAAAUAAAGGAAAUUUCAGUUCAAUUUGAUAAACGUUUACUGAGCAUCUACUGUUUACAAGAAGCCGGAAUAAGAAUUGUGGAAGAUUAAAAGUAAUUAAGAUAUAAUCUUUGCCUUAGUUUAUACCUGGUAUGU
ensembl:lincRNA